rnacentral:misc_RNA from 1 species
GAAAUGCGAUAAGUAAUGUGAAUUGCAGAAUUAAGUGAAUCAUCGAAUCUUUGAACGCACCUUGCGCUCCUUGGUAUUCCGAGGAGCAUGCCUGUUUGAGUGUCAUGGAAUUCUCAACUCUAUUUGCUUUUGUGAAUAGAGCUUGGAUUUGGAGGUUUAUUGCUGGUACUUGUGAUCGGCUCCUCUUGAAUGCAUUAGCUCGAACCUUUGCGGAUCAGCUAUCGGUGUGAUAAUUGUCUACGCCGUUGCAGUGAAGCAUAUCAAUGGGCUCGGCUUCCAAUCGUCCUUUACUGGACAAUGACUUUGACCUUUGACCUCAAAUCAGGUAGGAUUACCCGCUGAACUUAAGC